GGAAGUGAACCGAAUGGUUAGGAGGCCGCCUCGAAAGCGGUUGCCCCCCUGGGGUUGCAGGUUCGAGUCCUGUCACUUCCG
rnacentral:tRNA from 4 species